AUUUAGAACGUCAGCUAACUGUAACUGUGAAUCUCCAUAUUGACAUUGUUGCAUCACUGACAGGAGAGAACAUUUUGGAACUCCCCAAAAUGUCUGAAUUUACCGAGUAGCUCCGAGACUGAGAAUGAUUUCAUAACAGAGAAUGAAAUCACUUUAGUUAGGGAGCCAAUAAACCUACUGAAGCCGUUCAUGUUUGAGCCAAUCGUUGCGCCAGAUCAGAGUUUGUUCUCGUAGCAGUAACAACGCAGACAUGCCACCUGAAACACCUCAGCUAGAGGGUUUGCCUAGGAAAACACAAACUGGUGUGAGUGGGGAUGCUGCCAGAUAAUGGCUAGAGUAUGAGUGUGUGUGUUGUAGAGAAAUGGUGGCGAUACAGCACAAAAUCCCACUGUAUUCCAUCCAGGUCAGAGGUUCCUGUCAGUCUGUCUGGAUGGUGAUGUAUUACAUCCAGGUCAGUCUGUCUGGAUGGCGACUGUAUUACAUCCAGUUCAGUCUGUCUGGAUGGCGACUGUAUUACAUCCAGGUCAGUCUGUCUGGAUGGCGACUGUAUUACAUCCAGUUCAGUCUGUCUGGAUGGCGACUGUAUUACAUCCAGGUCAGUCUGUCUGGAUGGCGACUGUAUUACAUCCAGGUCAGUCUGUCUGGAUGGCGACUGUAUUACAUCCAGGUCAGUCUGUCUGGAUGGCGACUGUAUUACAUCCAGGUCAGUCUGUCUGGAUGGCGACUGUAUUACAUCCAGGUCAGUCUGUCUGGAUGGCGACUGUAUUACAUCCAGGUCAGUCUGUCUGGAUGGCGACUGUAUUACAUCCAGGUCAGAGGUUCCUGUCAGUCUGUCUGGAUGGCGAUGUAUGUAUUGGACGUGUCAUUAAUCCUUAUGAAGGACCUCCUGGUAGAAGAGGUUACUCAACCAGUCAGCAGCCGAUAUGCCAGUUAAAUAAUUGGUGAAGUUUUGCUUGAUUAUAAAUAUAAGGUUAAUAUCAGUAGUAGGCAGGUGCUCAAUAAAUAUAAUCUGUAUCCUAUAAAGAUGUUUAUUAUCAGUGCUUUUUGGCGCUAUGGUAACACGUUUACCUUUUUAAAUUAGACGACCGGAGUUCGAAUCGCAGACAGCUUCACGAAAUCUCAUUCUAACCAAUAAUGGGACGUGCUCAUUAUACACUGCUCAAAAAAAUAAAGGGAACACUUAAACAACACAAUGUAACUCCAAGUCAAUCACACUUCUGUGAAAUCAAACUGUCCACUUAGGAAGCAAACACUGAUUGACAAUCAAUUUCACAUGCUGUUGUGCAAAUGGAAUAGACAACAGGUGGAAAUUAUAGGCAAUUAGCAAGACACCCCCAAUAAAGGAGUGGUACUGCAGGUGGGGACCACAGACCACUUCUCAGUUCCUAUGCUUCCUGGCUGAUGUUUUGGUCACUUUUGAAUGCUGGCGGUGCUUUCAUUCUAGUGGUAGCAUGAGACGGAGUCUACAACCCACACAAGUGGCUCAGGUAGUGCAGCUCAUCCAGGAUGCCACAUCAAUGCGAGCUGUGGCAAGAAGGUUUGCUGUGUCUGUCAGCGUAGUGUCCAGAGCAUGGAGGCGCUACCAUGAUACAGGCCAGUACAUCAGGAGACGUGGAGGAGGCCGUAGGAGGGCAACAACCCAGCAGCAGGACCGCUACCUCCACCUUUGUGCAAGGAGGAGCAGGAGGAGCACUGCCAGAGCCCUGAAAAUGACCUCCAGCAGGCCACAAAUGUGCAUGUGUCGGCUCAAACGGUCAGAAACAGACUCCAUGAGGGUGGUAUGAGGGCCCGACGACCACAGGUGGGGGUUGUGCUUACAGCCCAACAUCGUACAGGACGUUUGGCAUUUGCCAGAGAACACCAAUAUUGGCAAAUUCGCCACUGGCGCCUUGUGCUCUUCACAGAUGAAAGCAGGUUCACACUGAGCACAUGUGACAGAGUCUGGAGUAUACAGGCUGGCAGUUUAUCGCCAGGUCACCCUGUGGGCACGAGGGAGAAUUAGAAGGGGUGUACGGCAUUUCAUCCCCGUGCAUAUUGUUUCUUCCAAAAGGCGCAUAAUAGCCAGAAGCAAAGGCCUUGAACAGAACCCGUUCAUUUAGUACAUCUAGCCUAAACUGGGACGGAGACAUAAUGCCUGCGCCUUAUGUAAAAAUAGUAUUAGUUAGCUUGUCCACUAUAACAACAGGUUCAAGUGUAACCAGAUAUACUUGCUUUGAAGAUAAACGUCUUUCAGUGCGCACUAAUCCCGGUGUCCCUGUCGCUAGAUUAGUGACUUCAACUAGGUUUGGCUGCCAUCUACUGGAAAGGAAUGGUAACUACACUGGGCAGCUAGUUGUCAAAGGAGACUUUAAUAAUAUAUACCAUUUAGCAGACGUCUUUAACGAAAGCCAACUGGGUACAUGGUAGUGGCAACAGAUCAUAGAAACAGGAUUACAAUGUUGAUGUCAUGGAUGGUCAGUCAUUCUAUCUAUAACUCUGUCUAUGCAAUUGAGAGUGGUUAUAUUUCUCCAGCCCCAUCCCUCGGCAGAGGAGGAGCAGGGAGACACUUUGUAAUUGUUUCUACUACCGUUCUAUG